GCGUCGCUGGCGCAAUGGGAGAGCAGGAGACUCUUAAUCUCUUGAUUGUAGGGUCGAGUCCUACGCGACACAUCA
rnacentral:tRNA from 1 species